UAGCUCAGUUGGGAGAGCAUCUGCCUUACAAGCAGGGGGUCACAGGUUCGAGCCCU
rnacentral:tRNA from 1 species